rnacentral:rRNA from 1 species
CACGCCCUAAACGAUGUCAACUAGCUGUUGGGGCCUUCGGGCCUUAGUAGCGCAGCUAACGCGUGAAGUUGACCGCCUGGGGAGUACGGUCGCAAGAUUAAAACUCAAAGGAAUUGACGG